AAGAAAACAAAGGGAAAAACUUUUUGACAUUGGUCUCAAUAGUAAAUUUUGGAUGUGAUACCAAAAGCACAGACAAAAAAAGCAAGCAUAAACAAGGGGGACUAUAUCAAACUAAAAAGCUUCUGCACACCAAAGGAAACAAUCAAAAUUAAAUAUCCAAGUAGAUAAGAAACUCACUUAAACUCUUUUUUCAGACUUGAAGAAAGGAAAUUCUGCUUAAAUUCUGAAAAGAAGGAAAUCCUGCUAUUUGUGACAACACAGAUGACCCUGGAGGACAUUAUGCUAAGUGAAAUAGAACCAGUGGAACUGUGGCUGCUUGGAAUGCCCCUUCCCUUUGCCAUCCACUUGACCUGACUAUUCCUGAUGGUUCUUCCAAGACCUCUUCAAACCCAGGGUGAGUGGCUCUUCUGUGUGUCCCUGGGGCACUG
rnacentral:lncRNA from 1 species